rnacentral:misc_RNA from 1 species
AACGCAACUUGCACUCUGUUUCGGCAGAGUAUGUCUGUCUGAGAACCACAACACAUGCCGCCGGAAGGUGGGCGAGUUGGGGGCAUGCGGGGGGGCAACCGCCGCAUCCCGCUGAAAGGGGGACGGGCCGUGGGCGAGUCAGAACAGGAGCCUGUAACAGGGCGUGCCGGUUGGUCGCAGACGGUCCGGGUGCCGGUGGGCGGGGCGUCCGCAGCAGGGCGUGCCCGGCGCACCACAGGCAGUUGGUCUCAGAUCAGGCAGGACUACCCGCUGAACUUAA